GUCUAUGGCCAUGCCACCCUGAACGUGCUUGAUGUUGGCUGAUCUCAGAAGCUAAGCAGGGUCAGGCCUGAUGGUUAGUACUUGGAUGGGAGACCAUCUAGGAAUACCAGGUUCUGUAGGUG
rnacentral:rRNA from 1 species